UUAAUUGAAGCCAAAAAGAGGCGUAUCACUGUUAAUGAUAUCAUUGAAUAAUUUAUCCCAAUUAAG
rnacentral:tRNA from 1 species